rnacentral:rRNA from 1 species
GAGUUUGAUCCUGGCUCUCGAUGAACGCUAGCGGCUCGCUUAACGCAUGCAAGUCGAGGGGUAAGGUUCUCCUUGGUGGGACAUUACCGGCACACGGCUGAGUAACACGUUUGCAAACUUCCUCUAAUGGGGAAAGCCCUAAAAAAUUCACGACAAAACUCCGAUGGAUCUGUUUGGGGCAUCUUUUAUUGAUUAGCUCUCCGGCUCUGGGAGGAGCCUGCGCCUGUCUUUAUCUAGUUGGUGAGGUAGCCCCUCACCGCGGCCACGAUGACGGGGGGGUAUGACAGGACCACCCCCCAUGGGGGUGCUGCCGGCGGACCUUACUCCUAAGGAGGAGCGGGUGAAUAUUAUUGAGGCAUGGACGCCAGUUUCACCCACCCCUGCCGCGUGAAGAAUGACCGCCCUAUGGAUUAUCAUUUGCUGGUGGUUGAGAAAAAACCCCCCAUCUGGAUCAGGGCUGACCGUACCAUAUGAAUAAGCAUCGGGUAACUCCGUGCAAACAGCCGCUGUCAUAAUUUACGAUGCAGGCGUUAUCCGGAUUCGGACCGGUUAAUUGGUGCGUGAGCCCUAAUAUUACCAUCCCUGGAGAAGUCCUUCCAUCUUGCUGUCUAACUGCCAUUGAUACUGACUGUCAUGAAUGAAUCUGAGGUGCGCUGAGUGUGAAUUGUAGAGAUCAUCUAUUGUAGAUAGUACUCAGCUGACGCAUCGCGGACGCUGAUAACUAAACGCAUAGGGACCCUGAGUGAUGAAAGACUGGGGAAUAAAGAGGACUA